rnacentral:rRNA from 1 species
UGGGGAAUUUUGGACAAUGGGCGGAAGCCUGAUCCAGCCAUGCCGCGUGAGUGAAGAAGGCCUUCGGGUUGUAAAGCUCUUUCGGUGGGGAAGAAAUCGCCUGUGCUAAUACCAUAGGCGGAUGACGGUACCCGCAUAAGAAGCACCGGCUAACUACGUGCCAGCAGCCGCGGUAAUACGUAGGGUGCGAGCGUUAAUCGGAAUUACUGGGCGUAAAGCGUGCGCAGGCGGUUGUGUAAGUCAGACGUGAAAUCCCCGGGCUCAACCUGGGAACUGCGUUUGAGACUGCACGGCUAGAGGAUAGCAGAGGGGGGUAGAAUUCCACGUGUAGCAGUGAAAUGCGUAGAGAUGUGGAGGAAUACCGAUGGCGAAGGCAGCCCCCUGGGCUAUUACUGACGCUCAUGCACGAAAGCGUGGGGAGCAAACA